UCAUAAUUAUAAACAUUAUCGUUAUAUUUAACACUCCAGUGCUCAUUAUAAUCAUAAAGCUGUCAUAUAAAUAUCAAUCAUUUCUGAAACUUAAUCAUUAUUGUCUUAGUUCUCUCAGUACACGUGAAAGAUUUCGAAAUGUGCAUCGUGUUUUUAGUAUUCGUAUUGAUAGUAGCGCAGAUUAAUGCUAGUCAAGAUGUCACACUAUGUUUACCGAAACAGGAGAUGUUAAACGAAUGCCCUGGGUUGGCAGAAAAAUAUCUAAAAUUUGGUGGGCCUGAUACUAGUAUGCUAUUUGACACUCAUGGAGGUUACAAAUAGAGGAAUAAUGGCAGCAGACAUUAUUUUCAGCCAAGACCAAGUUUCGAUAUGGAAUGCACCUUCACCAGUGUAUAACUUAGGAAUGUCUUUAUUAUCUGUGUGAAAUAAUAUGUAACUGCUCUAAUAUUUAAAAGGUACUUAAAUAAAAGCGAAUUAAUGUAGCUAAAAUGUCAGUUAGUUUGUCCUAAUUGGCUUUUGGAUUUUGGUUUAUAUUGAUAAUGAAUUUGUAAUACCGUAGUGUAGUUUAAACACAAGUGUAAGUUAAUUAUUAAAGACAUUAUAUAAA